CCUACGGGAGGCAGCAGUGAGGAAUAUUGGUCAAUGGACGAGAGUCUGAACCAGCCAAGUAGCGUGAAGGAUGACGGCCCUCUGGGUUGUAAACUUCUUUUAUCAAGGACUAAAACGAGGCACGUGUGCCUUGUUGCACGUACUUUAUGAAUACGGAUAGGCUCAUUACGUGCCAGCAGCCGAGGUAAUACGGAGGAUACGAGCGUUAUCCGGAUUGAUUGGGUGUAAAGGGAGCGUAGAUGGGGUUUUAAGUCAGGUGUGAAAGUUUGCGGCUCAACCGUGGAACUGCAAUUGAUACUGGCAUGCUUGAGUACCGGAGAGGUAGGCGGAAUUCGUGGUGUAGCGGUGAAAUGCGUAGAUAUCAGGAGGAACACCGAUGGCGAAGGCAGCUUACUGGACGGUAACUGACAUUGAGGCUCGAAAGCGUGGGGAGCAAACAGGAUUAGAUACCCGAGUAGUC
rnacentral:rRNA from 1 species